UGUGAUGGACGAUAGGCAUUAACCUCUGCGCCAUUGAGACUCUGCAACUACGUAGAUAUUUUUGGUAUUCUGUGUGUCUGAUUAUUAUUGUAAAAUUAAUUAUAAUUGACUUUGAAGAGUAUUAUAUUCUAUUAAUUUUGGGUAAAAGUAUCUCUUGUUGAGUUAAAAUAAUUUCGUGUAAUAUUUUUCACACUUAUGAAGACGGUCAGUGAUUGGUCAGUGUGUGUAAUAAUAGAACCUGCUAUUGGCGGUAUUUUUGCACGAGAUACAGAACAACAAAGACGUGUCUGAUGUUGUGUCUAAAUGUAGGUGAUCAGUGUAUUACGUUGACCUUGACCUGUCGUGGUGGCCAUUUUUUUGGGCCGGAUAUUGCGUGCCUUGUUUAGGUUUGUGAACUUUGCGUAUUUGCAAUUGCUAUUUGUUCAUGUUGCUAAUUAUGCAUGUUUAUAAUACAUGUACUACAUAUGAAUCCUUGCAAAGGAAAUAUGUUUGUAUAUAUGAUUGAGGUCAAGCAAAUCUUGUACAUUGGUUAAGUCACUAGAACAAAUUAUAAUGUGUUUUUAUUUAUUUAUGUUUAUAGGAGCACUGUCAUUGAUUGAUCACAUUACACUACAACUGUGAAUAAAAGGUGAAAAGAACUUGUGUGUUACAGAGAUAAGUCAAAAUCAUGUGAUUUUCAGCUGUUAUGUUUCAUUAACUUAUUGACAUUUUACGCACUUUAAGGUAUUUAUAAUUAGAUAGGUAUUUCUUAGUGGUUUUUCUUUUCUUACAAGUGACUACGCUUGGUGUUUUAGAGAUUAUUCGGGAAACAUGAAAUGACGAUUUGACACGUGUUUGACUCGUUCUUGUUGUAUGUGAGUCUUUUCUUUUCUUAUUUAUUUAUUGGGGGGGGGGGAGGUGGUGGUCUUUUUCUUUAUAUUUACUGACAGAAAUUAUGGGAUUUGCUGUGUUAGAAAUUUUUAUUUUUUAUUUAUUGUUCUUUUUUCUUAUAUGUACCGACAGGAAUUCUGGGAUUUGCCGGGUGUAUGCUCAUUGUAACAGAUUACACGGAGUUGUCACGGGGAUGGUCCUUUGAUUUGUGUUUGGCAGCAUCAGUUUAUAUUUUGAUUGAGAUUAUCGCUGUCGUCACUGGGGUCAUUGUUAAUGCAGUAAGGUCAUCAAACCAAAAAUCCGGUAAAAGUCCGAAACAGUCCGAGGAGACGGAUAACGGCGGGAAUGUGUUCACGGGAAAUGUUCAGACUGACAACCAUUACAAAAGAAACACUCGGGCCGCUGAUGAUUACAAAAGAAAUGCUCAGAGUGACACUGACUCCAAAAGUAACAGCCUACUUAAAUCUGCUGAGGUGGCCAUCAUAGCAAGCACUGAGCUCUUCAAAAUACCCAAAUGGUGAAAUAAAAACUGGUACAUAUUUCUUGAAUAGUUGAGUGCAUUGACUUCCAGAACAAC